rnacentral:snRNA from 1 species
AUACUUGUACUUCGCCAGCAUAUAUACUGAAAUUGGAACAAUACAGAGAUUAGCAUAGUCCCUGCACAAGGAUAACACACAAAUUCAAAGCACUUCAUAUUUUA